AUACUCCUGACUGACCGAUAGUGAACCAGUACCGUGAGGGAAAGGCGAAAAGAACCCCGGCGAGGGGAGUGAAAAAGAACCUGAAACCGUGUACGUACAAGCAGUGGGAGCACGCUUAGGCGUGUGACUGCGUACCUUUUGUAUAAUGGGUCAGCGACUUAUAUUCUGUAGCAAGGUUAACCGAAUAGGGGAGCCGAAGGGAAACCGAGUCUUAACUGGGCGUUAAGUUGCAGGGUAUAGACCCGAAACCCGGUGAUCUAGCCAUGGGCAGGUUGAAGGUUGGGUAACACUAACUGGAGGACCGAACCGACUAAUGUUGAAAAAUUAGCGGAUGACUUGUGGCUGGGGGUGAAAGGCCAAUCAAACCGGGAGAUAGCUGGUUCUCCCCGAAAGCUAUUUAGGUAGCGCCUCGUGAAUUCAUCUCCGGGGGUAGAGCACUGUUUCGGCAAGGGGGUCAUCCCGACUUACCAACCCGAUGCAAACUGCGAAUACCGGAGAAUGUUAUCACGGGAGACACACGGCGGGUGCUAACGUCCGUCGUGAAGAGGGAAACAACCCAGACCGCCAGCUAAGGUCCCAAAGUCAUGGUUAAGUGGGAAACGAUGUGGGAAGGCCCAGACAGCCAGGAUGUUGGCUUAGAAGCAGCCAUCAUUUAAAGAAAGCGUAAUAGCUCACUGGUCGAGUCGGCCUGCGCGGAAGAUGUAACGGGGCUAAACCAUGCACCGAAGCUGCGGCAGCGACGCUUAUGCGUUGUUGGGUAGGGGAGCGUUCUGUAAGCCUGCGAAGGUGUGCUGUGAGGCAUGCUGGAGGUAUCAGAAGUGCGAAUGCUGACAUAAGUAACGAUAAAGCGGGUGAAAAGCCCGCUCGCCGGAAGACCAAGGGUUCCUGUCCAACGUUAAUCGGGGCAGGGUGAGUCGACCCCUAAGGCGAGGCCGAAAGGCGUAGUCGAUGGGAAACAGGUUAAUAUUCCUGUACUUGGUGUUACUGCGAAGGGGGGACGGAGAAGGCUAUGUUGGCCGGGCGACGGUUGUCCCGGUUUAAGCGUGUAGGCUGGUUUUCCAGGCAAAUCCGGAAAAUCAAGGCUGAGGCGUGAUGACGAGGCACUACGGUGCUGAAGCAACAAAUGCCCUGCUUCCAGGAAAAGCCUCUAAGCAUCAGGUAACAUCAAAUCGUACCCCAAACCGACACAGGUGGUCAGGUAGAGAAUACCAAGGCGCUUGAGAGAACUCGGGUGAAGGAACUAGGCAAAAUGGUGCCGUAACUUCGGGAGAAGGCACGCUGAUAUGUAGGUGAAGUCCCUUGCGGAUGGAGCUGAAAUCAGUCGAAGAUACCAGCUGGCUGCAACUGUUUAUUAAAAACACAGCACUGUGCAAACACGAAAGUGGACGUAUACGGUGUGACGCCUGCCCGGUGCCGGAAGGUUAAUUGAUGGGGUCAGCGCAAGCGAAGCUCUUGAUCGAAGCCCCGGUAAACGGCGGCCGUAACUAUAACGGUCCUAAGGUAGCGAAAUUCCUUGUCGGGUAAGUUCCGACCUGCACGAAUGGCGUAAUGAUGGCCAGGCUGUCUCCACCCGAGACUCAGUGAAAUUGAACUCGCUGUGAAGAUGCAGUGUACCCGCGGCAAGACGGAAAGACCCCGUGAACCUUUACUAUAGCUUGACACUGAACAUUGAGCCUUGAUGUGUAGGAUAGGUGGGAGGCUUUGAAGUGUGGACGCCAGUCUGCAUGGAGCCGGCCUUGAAAUACCACCCUUUAAUGUUUGAUGUUCUAACGUGGACCCGUGAUCCGGGUUGCGGACAGUGUCUGGUGGGUAGUUUGACUGGGGCGGUCUCCUCCUAAAGAGUAACGGAGGAGCACGAAGGUUGGCUAAUCCUGGUCGGACAUCAGGAGGUUAGUGCAAUGGCAUAAGCCAGCUUGACUGCGAGCGUGACGGCGCGAGCAGGUGCGAAAGCAGGUCAUAGUGAUCCGGUGGUUCUGAAUGGAAGGGCCAUCGCUCAACGGAUAAAAGGUACUCCGGGGAUAACAGGCUGAUACCGCCCAAGAGUUCAUAUCGACGGCGGUGUUUGGCACCUCGAUGUCGGCUCAUCACAUCCUGGGGCUGAAGUAGGUCCCAAGGGUAUGGCUGUUCGCCAUUUAAAGUGGUACGCGAGCUGGGUUUAGAACGUCGUGAGACAGUUC
rnacentral:rRNA from 1 species